rnacentral:rRNA from 1 species
CCUACGGGUGGCAGCAGUGAGGAAUAUUGGUCAAUGGACGAGAGUCUGAACCAGCCAAGUAGCGUGAAGGAUGACUGCCCUAUGGGUUGUAAACUUCUUUUAUAUGGGAAUAAAGUAUUCCACGUGUGGGAUUUUGUAUGUACCAUAUGAAUAAGGAUCGGCUAACUCCGUGCCAGCAGCCGCGGUAAUACGGAGGAUCCGAGCGUUAUCCGGAUUUAUUGGGUUUAAAGGGAGCGUAGAUGGAUGUUUAAGUCAGUUGUGAAAGUUUGCGGCUCAACCGUAAAAUUGCAGUUGAUACUGGAUAUCUUGAGUGCAGUUGAGGCAGGCGGAAUUCGUGGUGUAGCGGUGAAAUGCUUAGAUAUCACGAAGAACUCCGAUUGCGAAGGCAGCUCACUAGACUGUCACUGACACUGAUGCUCGAAAG